GCACCAACAAUUAAAAGUGUUUCAGUACUGUCUACAAAAUCAUUGAAGAGCAACCAGAAAAAAAGAAAGAGAAAAGAUGGUUCUGCUAGAGAAGCUUUGGGAUGAUGUGGUGGCUGGACCUCAGCCUGACCGUGGUCUUGGCCGUCUCCGUAAGAUCACCACCCAACCCAUUAAUAUCAAAGAUAUAGGAGAAGGGAGUAGUAGUAAGGUGAUGCAUAGGUCGUUGACUAUGCCUUCGGCAGUGAGCCCUGGAACUCCGACAACUCCGACCACUCCAACGACGCCACGUAAGGAUAACGUGUGGAGGAGCGUCUUUAAUCCGGGAAGCAACCUCGCCACUAGAGCCAUCGGCUCCAACAUCUUCGAUAAACCUACCCAUCCAAAUUCUCCAUCCGUCUACGACUGCGUUGAUAACGAAGCUCAAAGGAAGGAACACGUGGCACUGUGUUUAGUGGGCGCGUGGAUUAACUGAAAAAAAAAAUUAUUCUGUUUUACCAAAUCAAAUCAACAACCUUCCUUUUUGUGCAUAUGGUUGUACAGCGGUGAGUCAAGGAGUCAGCACCGUUAGGGUUGUUUGGUCCGGAAGGGGUAGUGUGACAUGCGGGGUGAUGUAAUUACAGUGACCAGAUCUUCUACCAUGUGUCUGUUUACUUACUUUUUUCUUACCUUAGUUUUUGACUGUUUAUAGUAUGGUACUUUGUCAGACUUGAUAGGGUUAUCUUUUUUGUACAGAAAACUGUCAUCUGCCUAGACAAAUGCGUGUAAGCUUCUGUUUUAGGGAUGUGUUUUGCAAGUUUUUUUUUUUUUUUGGUUUGUUUACGAGUUGUGUAGUUGCAAGUGGUGGUUGGAUCUUUCACUGUCUCGUUGGAUUUUGUCGGUGGUCUUUAAUGUUGAAUAAAUAAUAUUUUGUUACUGUA